GAAGUGUUUUUACUGGUGAGAGCAAUUCCAGACUCCGGGCUACAUCAGAAAAUCCUUUAACUCAGCUAAUUGACUUAGUGUUUUGGCAAUGUGUUUACUCCCCCCUUCCCCUCUUUUACUGCAUUUUCUAUUUUAAUGCUAUAAAACUCAACUAACUUCUAAAAAAAAUAAAUUCCCUUUUUUUUUCCAGAGUUUCUUAGACUUUCUCCACCUAGUUAAUGACUGGCUGCAGCGAGUCUCUUUUAAUAUGAAAGGAAACACCAUGCUUGCAGCUUGCAAAACAGGAUGACAAGGCUAAAGAUUAAAAAGGGGGAAAAAAAGAAAAACGAAGAAAAAGAAGACAAAGAAGGAUUUGCGGGUGUGCUUUCCUCAAGGUGAAGCUGUUCCAGGAGCACGGGCAAUGCCUCCACAGCGCUCCAGGCGGAGUUGGAACUGGGAAAGAAAAAACCCUACACAUGCCUGUAAAAAAGUACUGGGAGAAGUCAGCGCAGUGCAACGAGGGUUCAUGUGACUGAGACAUUCCA
rnacentral:lncRNA from 1 species